rnacentral:rRNA from 1 species
AACGAACGCUGGCGGCAGGCUUAACACAUGCAAGUCGAACGCACCGCAAGGUGAGUGGCAGACGGGUGAGUAACACGUGGGAAUCUACCCAUCACUACGGAACAACUCCGGGAAACUGGAGCUAAUACCGUAUACGUCCUUCGGGAGAAAGAUUUAUCGGAGAUGGAUGAGCCCGCGUUGGAUUAGCUAGUUGGUGGGGUAAAGGCUUACCAAGGCGACGAUCCAUAGCUGGUCUGAGAGGAUGAUCAACCACACUGGGACUGAGACACGGCCCAGACUCCUACGGGAGGCAGCAGUGUGGAAUAUUGGACAAUGGGCGCAAGCCUGAUCCAGCCAUGCCGCGUGAGUGAUGAAGGCCCUAGGGUUGUAAAGCUCUUUCACCGGUGAAGAUAAUGACGGUAACCGGAGAAGAAGCCCCGGCUAACUUCGUGCCAGCCGCCGCCGUAACAC